rnacentral:rRNA from 1 species
UGUGUUGCUUGCAAGGGCGUAUGGUGGAUGCCUUGGCAGACAGGACCGAUGAAGGACGUUUGAGGCUGCGAUAUGCCUCGGGGAGCCGCCAACAGGGCUUUGAUCCGAGGAUUUCCGAAUGGGGGAACCCACCGACCGUCAUGGGUCGGUACCGGCUUCGGCCGGGGGGUACGCAGGGAAGUGAAACAUCUCAGUACCUGCAGGAAAGGAUAUUCCGUGAGUAGUGGCGAGCGAAAGCGGAUGAUGGCCAAACCUUGCGCGUGUGAUACCCGUCGGGGGUUGCGCGCGGGGUGUUGCGGGAUCGCGUGCGCCGGCUCCGACGGGCCGGCCGGCAGUUGCAGAAAACCAUGUGUCAGGGGAACCGGGUUGAAUACCGGGCCGCAGAGGGUGAGGGCCCCGUACCUGAACGCGCAUGGUCUGCCGAUCGCGUCUCCCAAGUAGCACGGGUCCCGUGGAACCCCGUGCGAAUCCGCCCAGACCGUUGGGUAAGCCUGAAUAUUCCUGUCUGACCGAUAGCGAACGAGUACCGUGAGGGAAAGGUGAAAAGUACCCCGGGAGGGGAGUGAAACAGUCUCUGAAACCGUGCGCCUACAAUCCGUCGGAGCCCUUUUGUGGGGUGACGGCGUGCCUAUCGAAAAAUGAGUCUGCGAGUCAGUGGCAUGUGGCGAGCAUAACCCGUGUGGGGUAUGCGUAGCGAAGGCGAGUCUUAAAAGGCGUUUGAGUCGCGUGUCCUGGACCCGAAGCGGGAUGAUCUAGCCCUGAGCAGGUUGAAGCGCGGGUAAGACCGCGUGGAGGACCGAACCCACCUGGGUUGAAAACCGGGGGGAUGACUUGGGGCUAGGGGUGAAAGGCCAAUCAAAUUCCGUGAUAGCUGGUUCUCUCCGAAAUGCAUUUGGGUGCAGCGUCGGGUCAUUACGUCCCGGGGGUAGAGCUACUGGAUGCUUGCGGGCCCGUAUCGGGUACCAACAGCAACCAAACUCCGAAUACCGGUGACGCGUAUCCCGGCAGUGAGUCGGCGGGGGAUAAGCUUCGUCGUCGAAAGGGAAACAGCCCAGACCGUCGUCUAAGGUCCCGAAGCGUGUGCUAAGUGGGAAAGGAUGUGGAGUCGCAUAGACAGCCAGGAGGUUGGCUCAGAAGCAGCCACCCUUGAAAGAGUGCGUAACAGCUCACUGGUCUAGUGGUUCCGCGCCGACAAUGUAGCGGGGCUCAAGCACACCACCGAAGACGCGGCAGUAUUUUGUACUGGGUAGGAGAGCGUCCCAUGAGGGGCGAAGCGGCCGUGUGAACGCGCCGUGGACUUCAUGGGAGUGAGAAUGCAGACAUGAGUAGCGAGAGACGGGUGAAGAUCCCGUCCGCUGGAUGACCAAGGGUUCCAGGGCCACGUUCAUCGUCCCUGGGUGAGUCGGGUCCUAAGGCGAGGCCGACAGGCGUAGUCGAAUGGAUGAACGGGUCGAUAUUCCCGUACCGGCUUUCAGCCGCCAAAACCGAGGCUUGGAGUACUAACCUCCGGGUCCGGGCUUACUGCUCCUUCGGGGGCGGGAUGCCCUGGCCUGUUGGGACCGAUCCUUGUAGUAGGUCAGCGCAGGAGUGACGCAGAAGGGUAGCCGGCCGCGGAGGUGGUCUUCCGUGGUCAAGCACGCAGGGCGUGGGACAGGCAAAUCCGUCCCGCAUGGGUCCGAGGUGCGAUGAUGGGGGCCUUAUGGCCCGAUAUCCGGUGAUCCCGGCUGCCGAGAAAAGCUUCGGCGUCAGGCUCGAAGCCGCCCGUACCCCAAACCGACACUGGUGGUCAGGUAGAGAAUACCAAAGCGAUCGAGCGAAUCCUGGUCAAGGAACUCGGCAAAUCACUCCCGUUCCUUCGGUUUAAGGGAGACCCCCGAUGGUGAACACACUUGCUGUGGGAGCUUUUGGGGGUGGCACAGACCAGGGGGUAGCGACUGUUUACCAAAAACACAGGUGCAUGCGAAGGCGCAAGCCGCUGUAUAUGCACUGACGCCUGCCCGGUGCCGGAAGGUUAAGAGGAUCCGUCAGCCUUCGGGUGAAGCGGUGAAUUCAAGCCCCGGUAAACGGCGGUGGUAACUAUAACC